ensembl:lncRNA
CGAAGGGCUUGCACAGGAGCGCCUUAUCUAGGGGCAGCUCUUGGUUAUUUAUGUACAGUCUGGAAGGUCCCUUGGAGGAGGAAAUGGCAACCCACUCCAGUAUUUUUGCCUAGAGAAUCCCAUGGACGGAGGAGCCUGGCGGACUACAUACCAUCCAUGGCGUUGCAAAAAGUCGGACGCGACUGAGCAACUAAUACUUGGUUUUCAUCACUUUGUCGAAAAUCUUAUUCGCCUGGAAGAGAGAAGGGGAUUCUUUACCAGCUGAGCCACAUGGGAAGCCCAAGAAUCCUGGAAUGGGUUGCCAUUUCGUCCUCCAGCGGAUCUUCCUGACCCAGGGACUGAACCCACGUCUCCUGCCUUGGCAGGCAGACUCUCUACCUUCUGAGCCACCAGGGAAGGCCCACAGGAGGGUACCAUGCAGUCUGCUGGAUGAAUGAACAUAUUCCCGGUCCCAUGUCUGUCCUUUGUCUGAACCAAACUGUCUGGGGAGUGGUUGCUGGGAACCUGUAGACACAUGAGCCCUUUGUGACCCUUCUGAGGUGACCUUGCCAUCUGACAGGCCCUCAAACAGGGUCUCAUGUGCCACAGUAAGUCUAAUCAACUGUAGGAGCUAUUCCUCAGAAUUAUCCAUUCUAGGUCCCGGGCAAAGAUUGUUGGGGCUAUUUAUGCCUCGUUCAACAAAAUGACUCAAUGGAAAAAGUGACCGAGUGUUUUCAACUUAGCUCCAUCUUCCUUGCUCGGUUGCUACAACCAUAUCGAAAUUCUGUGUCUAAAAUGUUCUGGCGGUUACUAAGACCAGGACUGUGACUAAAGUGAACUCUGAUGGUCCAUGUUCUCUUUAUGUUACUCCUCAUCUCUCUUGGUCAUAUUAACCUCGUUACUUUCAGAAAAAAAAAACAACACACACAAUGAAAGAAACACAAAACAAUCAAGCAACAAUAAACAAUUUUUUGUUGGCAUUUUUUUUUUAAGAACGAAAAUUCUGCUCCACUAUCCAUGAUAACACCAGGCUUAGGAGAGGGGGAAAAUGAAUUAGGCAUGACAAUUUUUUUUUUCUCUUGCAUGACUCUUUUGAUCAUAUUUUUUUAGUAGUAUUGGUUCAAAGGGAAAUCAUAGUGCUUGCAUGUUGAACAGCACCUAGCAUAAAUUAAAUUGGCCUGGAGUUGUUAAAAGUAUUUAGAGACUCUGCUAUAACAUGACAUGCUUUCUUAAAUAUUUGUGUUUUCAUCUGUCUUCCUAAUUGGGCUCUCAG